CCACAGUUAUUCUUAUCAGUGCUAAACUAAGCAUGAGUCGGAAUCCUACGAGCGAGACAUCCAUCCGUUUCUACUUCUCGAAAGAGGAAAAGGUAGAACUCGAAUCUCAGUCUCUCCAACUGCCUCUCAUGGACGAAGAGAACCAUGUCUUUCACCGUCUCUUAAAGACGAAGAGAUCUACCUUUCUACCUUCUCGCAAGAAGAAAGGUACCAAUGAGGAUUUAAAGAAGUAUAAUUAGAAGACAUACUCCAUAUCAUAACCACCAUUACACUGCAGGGGUUCAACAGCGUGACCCGCUCACUAAGUUCAACAAUGAUCACAUAAAACCAUUACCGUACUCUCGUAACCCAUACAAAACAUAUCUCAUGUUAUGACAUUCUCAAGUCAAUAAAUACCACUAUAGUACAAAGUCAACCAACACACAUCAAUAAGUUAGCCAAGUACUAACCACAUCCCCCCUAUUUUCAAUAUACACAUAUCAAAAGAUGAGAAACCCAUCUACUUUUCCAAAGUGGAACCCAUGUGGGUCCACCAAUUUUCUUCACGUAACAUACACCAUGGCCCCACACUCUUCAAACAUUUAAUGCAUGGUAUGUUCUUCUCGUAUUAAAACUAACAUCCCAUGAGUAUCGUGUAUAAGGAAAACAUAAUGUGAAACUUUGUUCCAUGACUUACAUCACAUGAAACCCUUAUGGCUUCUUCCUAGUGCCCUGGACAUCACAUACCAGACUAGCUUUAGGAGAGAAAACAUGUGCCCCUAUCUCAUAAACAAGGAAACAACAACCCACAUACCCAAAUGACUUAUACAUACCCUACAUUCCCCAUACGAAACUCUUUACCCACGUGUAAUGAUAAAGAACCAAUCUCCAUACAAGCAUGUAUUCAUCUCUCUAAAAUGAUUUGGCUUGGAAAAGAACAACACUACGUGCAUGAUGGUUCCCUUCAGUCCUCAUAGUCAUCACCACAACAUAACAUCACCAAAUGACUUACAACAUCAAACAAAAACUCAAUUCACUAGCCAUACACCUCUUUUGCACACCAUCACAAACACCAUAAACAGACAACAUGGUUACGUAGAAACACAUUAUUCAUGGUGGCUACAUGAUGGUACUCGAACAAGUUCAUGCAUCAAUUUAAACUCCUACGUUCUCUCGGUUGCUCCAAAAAACCAUGUAACCCAUUUAAGAUCCCAAACUACCCAUGACCAUAACCUAAUCCUCAUAUAUCACGGUUUUCAUUGAUAUUCAUUAAACAGCAUGUUCCCUCAAACUAAUACCUACACCCUAUAUACCCACGUUCACUUACACUCCCGACUUUCUCAUUUGCACCAGAACCCGUGUGUCCCUUUACUCUAAACAGCCCAAUCUGAUAUUUGACCAAUGUUUUCCCGUUCCCAUACUUUAGUGCCUAACCACCACAACGAAACUACCAUAGCCUACUAUCACCACUAAACGAAAACACCCUCAUCCCACUAUAACUCAGUCUUGGGAACACGUUAAUUUCCCCCCUCCUUACUGCUGCAUGAAAAACACAUUGCUAAACCAUACAAAAUCCCAGAACCUGUGCUGAACUCCCAUCAAGCCACAAACUCCUGCCCGUAACGUUAUGAGCGAACCUAACCUCAAACAUACAUGGCAUCUUCUACAACAUCCUAGAACCAAACACAACCCUUAAACGUAACCAAGGCAUUCAAGCCCUUGAACCACACUACCCCUGAAUUGGAAUGCGCUCAUCAUGCGUAGAUUACACUGCCAGGGUCACCCACAGCUUGCACAGAAUGGCAAGAUCAAGAGCAUAUAUUCCAUAACAAAUCACAAACAUAAAGAGUUAGGUCCCCUUACCUCGAUGGAUCUAGGUUUCCCUUUGGUCCUACAUUUUUUGCCUCAAGGUUUCUUUCCCUUUCGCCACACUGCAGCUUAGCAAAACUCAGAUCUUCUUCGUAACCACUCACGGCUUUCUCUCUAUCUGCUCUUGCUUUCUCUUUCCCCUCCUUACAGUUCUCUCUUCUCUCAUUUUAACCUAAUCCUCCCCAAAGAUAAACCCCUCUUGACUUCUCUUUCCCUUCCGUACAGUUCUCUCUUCUAUCGUUUUAACCUAAUCCUCCCCAAAGAUAAACCCCUUGCUCCUUUAUGGCCAUUCAGUUUCCUAAACUUUCUUGGAGAUGAAUCUGGUGCCUUUGCCCAUUCUGUUCACCAAAAAUAAAACAUCCACCUUUGCCCAUUCAGGAAUCAAGUCCCUGCACCAGACUACACAUACGCACUUAACCACUACACUAGUCACAUUUCAUUGAUUAAUAUGCACAACAAUAGCCAUAUAAAAGCAUAUAAAACGCCCU
rnacentral:lncRNA from 1 species